GGGUUUUUUGGGGGGUUUUUUGGGGUUUUUUGGGUUUUUUUUGAGGUUCUUUCCGGCCUUCGCCUCAUGGUUAAACUCGCGUUUCCCGCCCGGGUUUUCCGGGAUGUUUCCGGAACGUUCCGUGUCCCGCCCCGUGUGCUGCCCCACGUGGGCGGCGUGCAGAGCCUCGAAAAGGAGCCAAAAUCCCCAAAAUCCCCCAAAAUCCCCCAAAAUCCCAUUAUUUUGGCCUCACAGCCGCUCCCAUCCUGCCCAGCUCUUUCCACAGGGGCGUUGUCGGCCCGGGAAGGGCGGGAGGUGGCGGGAGGUGACAGCGGUGACACGCUUGAGGUGGCACAGGGCAAUGCUAAUGAAUAAACCAAGGAUUUGAGGGUAGGAAAA